rnacentral:lncRNA from 1 species
GGCAUAUUUAAUAGACGAGAUGGUGGAGGCACCAGGAGGGUAAUUAACCUGCUCAAUAUCAUUGGCUAGUAAGUGGUGCAGCUGGAUCAGGAACUAUAAGUCAGUCUAUCCCCAGACGCCAGCUGCUUCGCAUCUCACACCUAAAGCUUGUUCUCUGCCCAAAACAGAUGAUUGAAGACAUCCAGGUGUUGGAACAGAGAAGUGAGAAAACCAACUGGGUCUGCAGCCUGCACUGGGAUCAGGCCCUUCCCGGAACCACUCGGCCCAGGGUAGGGCUGCGCAGGUUCAGUUCUGCCACGCAAAUUCGGAACCCACUUCUUCCCCAAGAGGGUGAAGAAAAGCAUGUCAGCCUCAACAUCCUGUCCUGUUCUUCAGCAAUUCCUGCUACUUUCUUCCUCAACCCCAUCCGCUCUAAUACCUUGCUCAAGGAGGAGAGAAUAUGGACACAUGGAGCUUUGGAAGCCAAGUGUAUGCCUGGUGGAGGGAUGACAUGAGCUGAAGGAAGAAGUGGGAAAGUAGUGUUCGCGCCAAGGGCUUGAGACAGUUAGCGUGACUCACCACAUCUUGGCUGCUGGACCUAUCUGCUCUCCCCCAGCUCUUGAGGGCUGUUGAGUCGAGGUAAAAAUGGCUAAGCCACUGAGGCAAAAACAGAAUGCAGAGUAAGGGCCUGCGGUUUAUGAGGACAUUGUGCUGACUGCUUUCAUAUCCCCUUUAGUCUCUGUGUAAGCAAUGGGCUUGCUGCAAUUGAGAUGCCUGAGAGGGGCAAAGACCCCUGCCCAUAUUUUCUCAGGAGCUGAGCUUCUGUUCUACCUCCUGAUGGAAAACAUGAUUAACAAGCCACCUUAAGGGCACCAUUGUUUGCACUGUGUAUCUUUGAAAAACAUAUAUUAACUUUUAAACUGCUUUGUAAGCUAUUAUCACAAGUCCCCUUAAAACUGCUUUGUGAGCUGUUAUCACAAGCCCCUGAUAACUAUUUUUACGUGAUUUCUGUUCCCUUUUCUGUUUGCCCCCUUUUCUGCUGAGCUAAAGUAAAUGUAACAAGAAAAAAGGUAUAAAAGCUGUAACACACAAAAAUAAAGCU